UUUAAGCAUAUCACUCAGUGGAGGAACAGCAAGCAACAGCGAUUGCUUCAGUAACGGCGAGUGAACCGGCAGAAUUCAUGGCUCAGCCUGAAUGAGAUUCCAAUCGCACCCAGUGUGCGCUCGGCUUUCGUGGAUAUCACCAUGCUGUGGGUUGAGGAGCGGCUGGCUGUGCUUCGGAUUGGCUGUGGUGCCAGGAACAAGCCUGGAAUGGCUGACACCAGAGGGAUACUGUCUCGUACUCUCGUUGUGCAUCACGGCUGUCUGAGGCGUUGCUGGCUGUAUCCAAGAGUAGAAUGGCUUGGGACUGCAGUUCGAAAUGUGGGGUAUAUCCCCCACAAGGAGCAAUACCAACAUGGGACCGAUAGCGCAGAAGUAGAGUGAUUGAAGGAUGCAAAGGACUUUGCAAAGAGGGUUAAAAGUCCCUGAAGCCUUGGCAGGAACGGCGGAGAGUGUUGCUGUGGCCUUUGGUUGAAUCCCAUGCCAGGCCCACCUCGGUGGCGUUUGGAUGGACCCUGGUUCAGCCACUGCUUGGUCCUCAAUGGAUCUCGCAGGUGUGAUUCCCAAGUGGCCUUGGGUCAGCCCAGUGUCAGCUGCUGUGCCCAGCCUUCAAAGGUUGGAUGCCAAUCGCAGUGACAUGUGGUGGCAGCUAUGCUUGCCAGGACCUGAGGUCUACGGUGUGAUCCACAGGGCUCUAUGUUGUGAUUUCUGAUGGCAUCAGCAGAUGAUAUGGUCAGGACGCAGCGAUUGUCGAUUGGAAUUCUGAGUGCUUGCAACCUCCUGGUGUGUCUUCGGACAUGCCAGUCACUGUGGCACAGUCUUGGUGGUGUUGGCAGAGGCAAUGGUGACUGCACCAUUCUGAUGGUGGUCCCAUGUCACUGUCUGGCAUUCCAGCUGGUGUCCAGUGCAGAACAGCAGAUCUUGGUGCAGCAGUGGCACUGUCUGCCCGUCUUGAAACACGGACCAAGGAGUCUAUGGAGCUUGCAUGUUGGCUGGUGCCAUCAACGAAACCAAGUUUGUGCUGACCCAACUGUGGUGCUUCGCCUGGUCGCUUGCAGUGAGGUGUUGACAAUCCCAACAUCCACGCUUGUGACAUGUGGCAGGUUCAGGCAGUGUGGGCAAUGGCCGCAAUUGCAAUGCAUGGUGAAGGCAACUCAACCAGAUUGGCAUUUGGCUGCUGCAUGGAACACCAGUUCCAUCGUCCAGUGGACAGGGUUCUGAGUGCUUGUGGAGUCCCAUGGGACCCGAAAGGUGGUGAACUAUACCAAUCUACGGUGAAGCCUUGGGAAACUGAGGUGGAGGCCGGUCGCUGUUCUGACGUGCAAAUUGUGUAGCCUGAGACUGGCAUAGGGGUGAAAGGCCAAUCGAGCCACCUAGUAGCUGGUUUCCCUCGAAGUUUCCCUCAGGAUAGCUGGGCUCAAAUGACACCAUCAGUGCUUACGUCCGGUAAAGCAACGCAUGAGAGGAAUCCAUGGGGAGUCUCUGCUCCUCAACCUAUUCUCGAACUGUGAAUGGGCGUGGCCCAGAAGCAUGCUUCUUCACUGAUGGCCAGAGGCUGGGUCAAACCAGUGCUCAAGGCUUCUGAGCGUGUUCCCUGUGGCUGUGUCUGAGAGAUGGCUGGUGGCCUGUGGCUGUGCUGUGCUCACCCCGUGUGGGCCACACGAAUUGCAAGGGCUGCCCCACGUAUCCUGAGGCUGGCUGCUAUGAGAUGAACAGAAGUGCCUAUGUGGGCCAUGAUUGGUAAGCAGUGCUGGCGAUGCGGGAUGCUCCGAGAGUGGACUUACAGAUCCAGAGUGCUGGCUCAUACACAGAUCCCACAAAGGAUGUUGUCUGCUAGAGAUAGCAGGACGGUGGCCAUGAAGGUUGGAACCCGCUAAGGAAUGUGUAACAACUCACCUGCCGAAGCGGUCCGCUCCGAAAAUGGAUGGUGCCCAAGUCAGUGAAGCUGAGAUUGUCUUACAGUCCACCACCGCUGUGGCUGUCAUUGCAGAGCAUCGUUGUGUAGAAUGGACAUGGGAGCAGCUGUGACUGUCAAAGCUGCCUUUGGCUGAAGCUACUUCUGGAGCAGAUCUUGGUUGUAGUAGCGAGUACUCCAUCGGGUGAAGAGUGGCAAACACCCCACUGUGUGCGGUUGAGGACUGAAGUGGAGCAGGUUUCCGCACCAAACAGCCGUUGAAUGCGGGUCAACCGACCGUGAGCCAAGUGGCAAAUUCACUGAACAAGCAAGGCUGCUAUGAUACUCAGGCUAUCCACAGAUUGCACCCAGCGCACCCUGCGUGUGCUGACCAGGGCAAUGCUGUGACCUGAAGCAUUGGCUGGCAGGAGUGGCAAACAGGCAAGCAUGUGCAACAUUCUGCUGUGAUGGGCCUGGGACACCCAUCGGUGGCGACGCCAUCCAACUGGAGCAUUCAGGCAUUGGGGCAGUGCACCCCCUGUGGAGUUAUCGUUUCCUCCUGAUGCAGGCUCAUGUGGGCUAUCAACAUCACGACAAGUGGCGCAGUAUGCUCUCCGCUCAGCAAGGCAGCACGCUCUAUGUGCUGAUGGCAUUGUGAAUAUGGAACUGUCUCUGUGAUUGAUUGCUGUACUGGCAUGUGGUCUCAGGCCACAAGAUCCUAAUGGUGGUCACUGGCUCCAAUGAACAGCUUGAAAGACCUUGUGCCUCAGGCAAUGGUCGUCGUACUGAAUCACCGCAGCCGGUCUCCUCGGCUAGACGCCGCUAGUCCACAGACUAAAUGCAGCUAAGGGAAGUCGGCAAACUAGCUGUGUACCUUUGGAAGAUGCAGUGGCUCCAGAAGUCAGGCCAAUGGGUCCUGCAACGGCUUGUGACAACGUUGAAGAACUGCUCUGUAUAGUGGCUCAUGUCACAGUGCGAGGCUUGAUCAUCCUCAGAAGCGCGAUCUGAUUGUGGAGGGCUUCGGCCCAUCCCAGUGGCUACUAAGUGGCUCAUGUGGAACUGUUGCUGUGCAGGGGAAUCUGACUGUUUAAUUGAAACCCAGCUUUGUGACGGGACCAGCUGGCUGGUUCCAUGAGGUGACUUCUGCCCAGUGCUCUGAUUGUUACCGCAAAGAGAUUUAUCCAAGCGCGGGUAAACGGCGGGAGUAACUAUGACUCUCUUAAGGUAGCCAAAUGCCUCGUCAACCAAUUAUUGACGCGCAUGAAUGGAUCAACGAGAUUCCUGCUGUCCCUAGGUGCUGUCUGGUGAACCAACAGCCAAGGGAACGGGCUUGGAUGUGUCAGCGGGGAAAGAA
rnacentral:rRNA from 1 species